rnacentral:rRNA from 1 species
CUUAAGGAAUGCGACUUCGGUCAAAUGACUUUUGAACUUAGUGGCGGACGGGUGAGUAACGCGUGAGCAACCUGCCUUUCAGAGGGGGAUAACAUUUGGAAACAGAUGCUAAUACCGCAUAAGAUUACAGUACCGCAUGAUACAGUGAUCAAAGGAGCAAUCCGCUGAAAGAUGGGCUCGCGUCCGAUUAGAUAGUUGGUGAGGUAACGGCUCACCAAGUCGACGAUCGGUAGCCGGACUGAGAGGUUGAACGGCCACAUUGGGACUGAGACACGGCCCAGACUCCUACGGGAGGCAGCAGUGGGGAAUAUUGCACAAUGGGCGAAAGCCUGAUGCAGCAACGCCGCGUGAGGGAAGACGGUUUUCGGAUUGUAAACCUCUGUUUUCGGUGACGAACAAAUGACGGUAACCGAGUAGGAAGCCACGGCUAACUACGUGCCAGCAGCCGCGGUAAUACGUAGGUGGCAAGCGUUAUCCGGAAUUACUGGGUGUAAAGGGAGCGCAGGCGGGAUAGCAAGUCAGCUGUGAAAACUAUGGGCUCAACCCAUAAACUGCAGUUGAAACUGUUAUUCUUGAGUGGAGUAGAGGCAAGCGGAAUUCCGAGUGUAGCGGUGAAAUGCGUAGAUAUUCGGAGGAACACCAGUGGCGAAGGCGGCUUGCUGGGCUCUAACUGACGCUGAGGCUCGAAAGUGUGGGGAGCAAACAGGAUUAGAUACCCUGGUAGUCCACACUGUAAACGAUGAUUGCUAGGUGUGGGGGGUCUGACCCCCUCCGUGCCGGAGUUAACGCAAUAAGCAAUCCACCUGGGGAGUACGGCCGCAAGGUUGAAACUCAAAUGAAUUGACGG